rnacentral:rRNA from 1 species
AUUGAACGCUGGCGGAAUGCUUUACACAUGCAAGUCGAACGGCAGCAUAGGUGCUUGCACCUGAUGGCGAGUGGCGAACGGGUGAGUAAUACAUCGGAACGUGCCCAGUCGUGGGGGAUAACGUAGCGAAAGUUACGCUAAUACCGCAUACGAUCUAAGGAUGAAAGCGGGGGACCGUAAGGCCUCGCGCGAUUGGAGCGGCCGAUGUCAGAUUAGGUAGUUGGUGAGGUAAAGGCUCACCAAGCCGACGAUCUGUAGCUGGUCUGAGAGGACGACCAGCCACACUGGGACUGAGACACGGCCCAGACUCCUACGGGAGGCAGCAGUGGGGAAUUUUGGACAAUGGACGCAAGUCUGAUCCAGCCAUUCCGCGUGCAGGACGAAGGCCUUCGGGUUGUAAACUGCUUUUGUACGGAACGAAAAAGCUCUUACUAAUACUAGGAGUCCAUGACGGUACCGUAAGAAUAAGCACCGGCUAACUACGUGCCAGCAGCCGCGGUAA